UACGUAGGGGGCAAGCGUUGUCCGGAAUUAUUGGGCGUAAAGGGUGCGUAGGCGGCCUUUUAAGUCAGAUGUGAAAGACCACGGCUUAACCGUGGGGUUGCAUUUGAAACUGGAGGGCUUGAGUAUCGGAGAGGGUAGUGGAAUUCCCAGUGUAGCGGUGGAAUGCGUAGAUAUUGGGAGGAACACCAGUGGCGAAGGCGACUACCUGGACGAAAACUGACGCUGAGGCACGAAAGCUAGGGGAGCAAACAGGAUUAGAUACC
rnacentral:rRNA from 1 species